CUCAUAGCCAAGAGGUAAGGCACGGGACUGCAACUCCCUGAGCGUUGGUUCAAAUCCGACUGGGUC
rnacentral:tRNA from 2 species